rnacentral:rRNA from 1 species
AGAGUUUGAUCAUGGCUCAGGAUGAACGCUAGCGGCAGGCUUAACACAUGCAAGUCGAGGGGUAAGUCCCGAUUUAUCGGGAACACGACCGGCGCACGGGUGAGUAACGCGUAUGCAACUUACCUCUAACUGGGGGAUAGCCCGAAGAAAUUCGGAUUAAUACUCCAUAAUAUCAUAGGAUCGCAUGGUUUUAUGAUUAAAGCUCCGGCGGUUAGAGAUGGGCAUGCGUGCCAUUAGUUUGUUGGUGAGGUAACGGCUCACCAAGGCAGCGAUGGCUAGGGGAUCUGAGAGGAUGGUCCCCCACACUGGUACUGAGACACGGACCAGACUCCUACGGGAGGCAGCAGUGGGGAAUAUUGGGCAAUGGACGAAAGUCUGACCCAGCCAUGCCGCGUGCAGGAUGACGGCCUUAUGGGUUGUAAACUGCUUUUGUACAGGAAGAACUACCUCGACGUGUCGAGGUUUGACGGUACUGUACGAAUAAGCAUCGGCUAACUCCGUGCCAGCAGCCGCGGUAAUACGGAGGAUGCAAGCGUUAUCCGGAUUUAUUGGGUUUAAAGGGUGCGUAGGCGGGAUAGUAAGUCAGUGGUGAAAUCUUUCGGCUUAACCGAGAAACUGCCAUUGAUACUGCUUUUCUUGAGUACAGUUGAGGUAGGCGGAAUGUGUAAUGUAGCGGUGAAAUGCUUAGAUAUUACACAGAACACCUAUUGCGUAGGCAGCUUACUAGACUGUUACUGACGCUGAGGCACGAAAGCGUGGGGAGCGAACAGGAUUAGAUACCCUGGUAGUCCACGCUGUAAACUAUGAUCACUCGUUGUUGGCGAUACACUGUCAGCGACUGAGCGAAAGCAUUAAGUGAUCCACCUGGGGAGUACGACCGCAAGGUUGAAACUCAAAGGAAUUGACGGGGGCCCGCACAAGCGGUGGAACAUGUGGUUUAAUUCGAUGGUACGCGAGGAACCUUACCUGGGCUUAAAUGCAGAGCGACAUUCACUGAAAAGUGAACUUCCUUCGGGACGAUUUGCAAGGUGCUGCAUGGUUGUCGUCAGCUCGUGCCGUGAGGUGUCGGGUUAAGUCCCAUAACGAGCGCAACCCUCAUCGUUAGUUGCCAACGGAAUUUGCCGGGGACUCUAACGAAACUGCCGGUGUAAACCGUGAGGAAGGUGGGGAUGACGUCAAAUCAGCACGGCCCUUAUGUCCAGGGCUACACACGUGUUACAAUGGCCAGCACAAAGGGCAGCUACCUGGUGACAGGAUGCAAAUCUCUAAAGCUGGUCUCAGUUCGAAUUGAAGUCUGCAACUCGACUUCAUGAAGCUGGAAUCGCUAGUAAUCGCGCAUCAGCCACGGCGCGGUGAAUACGUUCCCGGGCCUUGUACACACCGCCCGUCAAGCCAUGGAAGCUGGGAGUACUUGAAAUCCGUAACUGUAAGGAGCGGCCUAGGGUAAAACUAGUGACUGGGGCUAAGUCGUAACAAGGUA